rnacentral:rRNA from 1 species
GAGCGAACCGUGCGAACGUUGUUCGGAAUCACUGGGCUUAAAGGGCGCGUAGGCGGCCGGCCAAGUCCGGGGUGAAAGCCCCCAGCUCAACUGGGGAAGUGCCUUGGAUACUGGUCGGCUCGAGGGAGGCAGGGGUGAUGGGAACUUCCGGUGGAGCGGGUGAAAUGCGUUGAUAUCGGAAGGAACGCCGGUGGCGAAAGCGCAUCACUGGUCCUCUUCUGACGGCUGAGGCGCGAAAGCCAGGGGAGCAAACGGG